CAAGUCAGAGUCGGGGCAUUCACGCGGAUAUCCAAGCCACACUUUAAAGAGCAACUACUGGGAGGUUGGAGCUGGAAACAAAAAGUAUGGAUACUAGCAUUCUCAAAAGACACACCAGCUCAUGUGCGAGAUUUGUAAAAAGUGAUUUAUUGCAUCGCUGUUUACUAAUGAGAAAGGCUGGAAUCCCAGCCACUCACGAACAGGACUGAACAAACGUUCACCCGCACCGUAAAACGCGGCACAGACGAAGAGCGCGAAGCUCAUCCCAAGGAGUAUUUUGUACAAAGAGGACAAGGGGCAUAAAGCCAGGUAUAGUCUGCCCGGUCUGUGUAAGAAGGGGAGGGAAAGUAUCUGUGCAUUUAUUCACGCAGAAAAUACCCCGGAAGGAGACAGAAGACACUGAUAACGCUGGUGGCCACUGGACAGGGCAGGCGCGGAGCAGGGACGAGGGAGUGAGGGGGGCUUGUGCCAUCACCCCAUCUGAAUACUGAGCCAUGUAAAGAUAUUACAUAUUUAUAAAGUUAUUUAAGGUGCUAGUUCAAAAA